CCUUGUAGUAGGUAAACAUUAAGGAGGGGUGGAGGAGAGCACAGAAUGUUUACCUGCAGGGGGAGGGACGGUCUUCUUCUGCUUAGAAUGCUGACGAGUUUCCUUCAUCCAGGGGAAUAUCUGUUUGGCCCAAACUUUUCUGGACACAGAAGAGGGAGAGAAAAAUACAAAAGAGAGAAUAAGAAUACACACAUGAAAGUUCAUCCUUCCAAGUUUCUGCCAGAGGACGCAGCACACAAAGAAGAAAUAGAAGAAACGAAGAUUCCCUUCUUAUCCAAAAUAUGGGUUUUAGAAUUAUCCAUCUUGAAGAUUUAAACUUCUCUCUUCACAUAUAAUGCUUCAUAAUGAAUUGGUGGUGAAAAGAGUGUUUGGGGUAUUGCCCGAUUGUAUUCUUCACACCAGGUAGUUCUUCUACAAACUUGCCAAUUUUUUAACCAUGUAUAAGAAGGCACAAUGAUAUAACCAUCAUAUGGAACCAUAUUAAGGCUAAUGGGUAUAGUAUACAAUUUGUGUGGGUGUUUGUUCUGCCUUGUGUUCAAAUUGCUGAACUCGCUAGUAACAUUAAUAUUUAACUUGGGUCACAAAAACUACAAACUCCAUUAUGAAAGGGGUUUUGUUCCUUUGUAUGUGGGGUACUGUUGUGACCCAUCCCCACUAAACAGUAUGCUGCUGACUUUGCAGACUUAAACCAUUGGAUAAUAGAUAUUUACAUCUGAUUUGCCUUCUGUCAAACUAUUUUGCAAUGCUAAAUGUUUUAGGUCCAAGGCUACUCUCUCAGUAUUUCCUUAUGUAAUUGCAUGUAAUUGUACAUUGUUACAGUUCUGUCACACCCAAGGGGACAAUCACAAUAAAAAAUGGUAAUAAAAUAUUUGGUGUGGUUACUUUUUCUUUUCUCCUUUAAUGUCUAUUUUUUUCUGUCUCUCUCUCUAUGCGGUGAGAAAAGUCAGGUAAAGUUGUGGAA